rnacentral:rRNA from 1 species
ACAACUUUCAACAACGGAUCUCUUGGCUCUCGCAUCGAUGAAGAACACAGCGAAAUGUGAUAAGUAAUGUGAAUUGCAGAAUCCAGUGAAUCAUCGAAUCUUUGAACGCAUCUUGCGCUCCUUGGUAUUCUGAGGAGCAUGCCUGUUUGAGUGUCAACUAA